rnacentral:tRNA from 1 species
UGUACUCGAUCCAGAAUCAUUCCCAAAAGGUCGGAACGAGGUAUGUGGCUUUCAAACUAGGUUCUGGGUUCAUAAAAGACCUGAAUCAGGAACAAGGGAUAUUAGCUCAGGUGGUUAGAGCGCACCCCUGAUAAGGGUGAGGUCCCUGGUUCGAGUCCAGGAUGGCCCACCUGCACAGGUGGCAAAAACAAAAAAAACAAGCGAGGAAUCCCCACCUUAUCUUACUUAUAUAGUAAGAAAGAAUGCUGGCUCUGAGUACAGAGUCCGAAGGAACCUUGAAAACUGCAUAGAGCUAGGUGAAAAAGCCAAAAAAAAGGACCGCAAA